rnacentral:rRNA from 1 species
CAGUCGCCGCGGGAAUACGGAGGGUGCAAGCGUUAAUCGGAAUUACUGGGCGUAAAGCGCACGCAGGCGGUCUGACAAGUCAGAUGUGAAAUCCCCGGGCUUAACCUGGGAACUGCAUUUGAAACUGUCAGGCUGGAGUCUUGUAGAGGGGGGUGGAAUUCCAGGUGUAGCGGUGAAAUGCGUAGAGAUCUGGAGGAAUACCGGUGGCGAAGGCGGCCCCCUGGACAAAGACUGACGCUCAGGUGCGAAAGCGUGGGGAGCAAACAGGAUUAGAUACCCCGGUAGUCCCUGUCUCUAUACA